GCGCUUGCUUUGGCGGCACAUAUACUAAAAUUGGAACGACACACAGAAGUUUAGCACGGCCCCUGUGCAAGGAUGGCGUGCCAAUUCGUGCAGUGUUCAAAAGAGAG